GUUGAUAAGGUUAAGUGAAUAAGGGCGCACGGUGGAUGCCUUGGCACUAGGAGCCGAUGAAGGACGGGACUAACACCGAUAUGCUUUGGGGAGCUGUAAGUAAGCUAUGAUCCAGAGAUUUCCGAAUGGGGGAACCCAAUAUCUUUUAUAGGAUAUUACUUUUCAGUGAAUACAUAGCUGAUUAGAGGUAGACGCAGAGAACUGAAACAUCUUAGUACCUGCAGGAAGAGAAAGAAAAUUCGAUUCCCUGAGUAGCGGCGAGCGAAACGGGAAGAGCCCAAACCAACAAGCUUGCUUGUUGGGGUUGUAGGACUCCAAUAUGGUAGUCUGUUAGUAUAGUUGAAGGAUUUGGAAAAUUCCGCUAAAGAGGGUGAAAGCCCCGUAGACGAAAUGCUAACAACACCUAGGAGGAUCCUGAGUACGGCGGAACACGAGAAAUUCCGUCGGAAUCCGCGGGGACCAUCCCGCAAGGCUAAAUACUCCCUAGUGACCGAUAGUGAACCAGUACCGUGAGGGAAAGGUGAAAAGCACCCCGGAAGGGGAGUGAAAUAGAUCCUGAAACCGUGUGCCUACAACAAGUCAAAGCUCGUUAAUGAGUGAUGGCGUGCCUUUUGUAGAAUGAACCGGCGAGUUACGAUUGCAUGCGAGGUUAAGUCGAAGAGACGGAGCCGCAGCGAAAGCGAGUCUGAAUAGGGCGAAUGAGUAUGUAGUCGUAGACCCGAAACCAUGUGAUCUACCCAUGUCCAGGUUGAAGGUGCGGUAAAACGCACUGGAGGACCGAACCCACGUACGUUGAAAAGUGCGGGGAUGAGGUGUGGGUAGCGGAGAAAUUCCAAACGAACUUGGAGAUAGCUGGUUCUCUCCGAAAUAGCUUUAGGGCUAGCCUCGGAAUUGAGAAUGAUGGAGGUAGAGCACUGUUUGGACUAGGGGCCCAUCUCGGGUUACCGAAUUCAGAUAAACUCCGAAUGCCAUUCAUUUAUAUCCGGGAGUCAGACUGCGAGUGAUAAGAUCCGUAGUCGAAAGGGAAACAGCCCAGACCACCAGCUAAGGUCCCAAAAUAUAUGUUAAGUGGAAAAGGAUGUGGGGUUGCACAGACAACUAGGAUGUUGGCUUAGAAGCAGCCACCAUUUAAAGAGUGCGUAAUAGCUCACUAGUCGAGUGACCCUG
rnacentral:rRNA from 1 species